rnacentral:misc_RNA from 1 species
GAUGAAGAACGCAGCGAAAUGCGAUACUUGGUGUGAAUUGCAGAAUCCCGCGAAUCAUCGAGUUUUUGAACGCAAGUUGCGCCCGAAGCCAUUCGGCCGAGGGCACGUCUGCCUGGGUGUCACGCAUCGUUGCCCCCCCAAUCUCCGGUUCGGGCGGGGCGGAAGUUGGCCUCCCGUGCGUGCCUGCGCGCGCGGUUAGCCCAAAAGCGAGUCCUCGGCGACGAGCGCCACGACAAUCGGUGGUUGUCUAACCCUCGGUGCCAUGCUGCGCGCGCGAUUCGCUCACUGUUACUCGACGACCCCAAUGCGUCGUAGCCACGACCCUCACAACGCGACCCCAGGUCAGGCGGGGCUACCCGCUGAGUUUAAGCAUAUCAAUAAGCGGAGGA